rnacentral:rRNA from 1 species
UGCGUAGGCGGCAUAGUAAGUCAGUGGUGAAAGCCCGGAGCUCAACUCCGGAACUGCCAUUGAUACUGCUAAGCUUGAGUACGGUUGAAGUGGGCGGAAUGUGACAUGUAGCGGUGAAAUGCUUAGAUAUGUCACAGAACACCAAUUGCGAAGGCAGCUCACUAAACCGUUACUGACGCUGAGGCACGAAAGCGUGGGUAGCGAACAGGAUUAGAUACCCUGGUAGUCC